GGAAUAUUGGUCAAUGGGCGAGAGCCUGAACCAGCCAAGUAGCGUGCAGGAUGACGGCCCUAUGGGUUGUAAACUGCUUUUAUACGGGGAUAAAGUGAGGGACGUGUCCCUUUUUGCAGGUACCGUAUGAAUAAGGACCGGCUAAUUCCGUGCCAGCAGCCGCGGUAAUACGGAAGGUCCGGGCGUUAUCCGGAUUUAUUGGGUUUAAAGGGAGCGCAGGCCGAAGGUUAAGCGUGACGUGAAAUGUACCGGCUCAACCCGUGAGUUGCGGCGCGAACUGGCUUUCUUGAGUGCGUACGAGGAAGGCGGAAUUCGUGGUGUAGCGGUGAAAUGCUUAGAUAUCACGAAGAACUCCGAUUGCGCAGGCAGCCUUCCAGUCCGUUACUGACGCUAAAGCUCGAAGGUGCGGGUAUCGAACA
rnacentral:rRNA from 1 species